rnacentral:rRNA from 1 species
UACGUAGGGUGCAAGCGUUGUCCGGAAUUAUUGGGCGUAAAGAGCUUGUAGGCGGUUUGUCGCGUCUGCUGUGAAAUUUCGGGGCUCAACCCCGAACUUGCAGUGGGUACGGGCAGACUAGAGUGUGGUAGGGGAGACUGGAAUUCCUGGUGUAGCGGUGAAAUGCGCAGAUAUCAGGAGGGACACCGAUGGCGAAGGCAGGUCUCUGGGCCACUACUGACGCUGAGAAGCGAAAGCAUGGGGAGCGAACAGG